GGGAUGUAGUUCAAUGGUAGAACACAUUCCUAGCGUGUGUGAAGUCCUGGGUUCAACCCCCAGUACCACCA
rnacentral:tRNA from 1 species